AACAAUAAUUAGUUUGGUGUUAAGAGAUGAGUGUUUUUUUUUCAUGGUAACGAACUGCCACGAAGUAUGAAUCAGAUUUUUACUUUUGCGUUGAAUGUCUGUUUUAUAAUAUGUUCACCA